CCUACGGGGGGCUGCAGUGAGGAAUAUUGCACAAUGGGCGAAAGCCUGAUGCAGCGACGCCGCGUGGGCGAAGAAGGUCUUCGGAUCGUAAAGCCCUUUUCUGUGUGACGAGGAAGGACGGUAGCACAGGAAUAAGUCUCGGCUAACUACGUGCCAGCAGCCGCGGUAAAACGUAGGAGGCAAGCGUUAUCCGGAGUUACUGGGCGUAAAGCGCGUGUAGGCGGUUGAGCAGGUCAGGUGUGAAAGCUCCCAGGCUAAACCGGGAGAGGUCACUU
rnacentral:rRNA from 1 species